AUAGCAUUAUCAGUUAUACAGAAAUACACGUUAGGAAACUAUCUUCAGGAGGACCUGGAUGAGUUCAUUUAUACAGUCAUCACAGAUCACCCCUAAGCUCUACUUCAGUUAGAGAAGGCUGUAAAUUCAGCAUCUGCACUGAUAUGAACAGGAACAGGAUCAGUUUCAGAGGAUUUCUAAAUACAUACAGAUUCUGUGAUCAUGUCUGGACUUUUGUAUUGAAUGAUGUUAAACUCAGAGAGAUGGCAGAGGUUAUCAAAGUGAAUAAAGUGAAAAUUGUAGCCUGUGAUGGUAAAAAUAUAGGCUCCAAAUAUUACAGAAUGA
rnacentral:lncRNA from 1 species